rnacentral:rRNA from 1 species
CGAAUGGGGAAACCCAGCAUGAGUUAUGUCAUGUUAUCGAUAUGUGAAUACAUAGCAUAUCAGAAGGCACACCCGGAGAACUGAAACAUCUUAGUACCCGGAGGAAGAGAAAGAAAAUUCGAUUCCCUUAGUAGCGGCGAGCGAAACGGGAAGAGCCCAAACCAACAAGCUUGCUUGUUGGGGUUGUAGGACACUCUAUACGGAGUUACAAAGGACGACAUUAGACGAAUCAUCUGGAAAGAUGAAUCAAAGAAGGUAAUAAUCCUGUAGUCGAAAAUGUUGUCUCUCUUGAGUGGAUCCUGAGUACGACGGAGCACGUGAAAUUCCGUCGGAAUCUGGGAGGACCAUCUCCUAAGGCUAAAUACUCUCUAGUGACCGAUAGUGAACCAGUACCGUGAGGGAAAGGUGAAAAGCACCCCGGAAGGGGAGUGAAAUAGAACCUGAAACCGUGUGCUUACAAGUAGUCAGAGCCCGUUAAUGGGUGAUGGCGUGCCUUUUGUAGAAUGAACCGGCGAGUUACGAUUUGAUGCAAGGUUAAGCAGUAAAUGUGGAGCCGUAGCGAAAGCGAGUCUGAAUAGGGCGUUUAGUAUUUGGUCGUAGACCCGAAACCAGGUGAUCUACCCUUGGUCAGGUUGAAGUUCAGGUAACACUGAAUGGAGGACCGAACCGACUUACGUUGAAAAGUGAGCGGAUGAACUGAGGGUAGCGGAGAAAUUCCAAUCGAACCUGGAGAUAGCUGGUUCUCUCCGAAAUAGCUUUAGGGCUAGCCUCAAGUGAUGAUUAUUGGAGGUAGAGCACUGUUUGGACGAGGGGCCCCUCUCGGGUUACCGAAUUCAGACAAACUCCGAAUGCCAAUUAAUUUAACUUGGGAGUCAGAACAUGGGUGAUAAGGUCCGUGUUCGAAAGGGAAACAGCCCAGACCACCAGCUAAGGUCCCAAAAUAUAUGUUAAGUGGAAAAGGAUGUGGCGUUGCCCAGACAACUAGGAUGUUGGCUUAGAAGCAGCCAUCAUUUAAAGAGUGCGUAAUAGCUCACUAGUCGAGUGACACUGCGCCGA